rnacentral:lncRNA from 1 species
UGUUGAUGGGGCCCCGCCAAAGCUGACAUAGACAGGUCCAGCCUCCAGGUGCCCCCACACCGUUUUCUUGCAUUAUGAAGCUGAGCGGCUUCUUUCUACUCUCUGUGAACAUCCUCCUUUGCCUCUGAAUGACCCAGCCUGGAGUCUUGAGGAGUGCAGCUGCACGGAAACCGGGAUAUUGCCCAGAGUUUGAUCUUGACUGCCCUUUCACUCUCUUACCUAUGCGCUGGCGUGAUAAGAGUUGCAGGGGGUCAAGAAGUGUUGCUACUACAACUGUCGGCAUCAGUGUAUGGAGCCCUGGUGGACUUUGGAUUGAGAGAGGAGCUACCCUCUCUGCAAGAGCUUCGAAGAGAGAAGCUACCCUUUCUGCGAGAGCUUCAAAGACCAGCAGACAUCCGAACACCCUGCCUGCAGAGAGGAGCCACCCUCUCCAGGGCCCCCUCUCUGUUGAGAGCUGAAUACUCAAGGGAUGAUCUGCCUACAGAGAGUAACAACCCACUACAGGUCUCCUCUGAGCUCUUCUAACACUAAAUAAAGCUCUUCUUCAUCGUCUUCA